CCUACGGGUGACAGCAGUGAGGAAUAUUGGUCAAUGGACGCAAGUCUGAACCAGCCAUGCCGCGUGCAGGAUGACGGUCUAUAACUUGUCAACUGCUUUUGUACGAGGGUCAACCCCGCUACGUGUAUCGGUUUGAAAGUAUCGUACGAAUAAGGCUCGGCUAACUUCGGGCCAGCAGCCGCGGUAAUACGGAGGAUCCGAGCGUUAUCCGGAUUUAUUGGGGUUAAAGGGUUCGUAGGCGGUUUGAUAAGUUAGGGGUGAAAUGUCGGGGCUCAACCCCGAAACUGCCUCCAGUACUGUGGGACUAGAGAAUAGUUGCGGUAGGCGGAAUGUACGGUGUAGCGGUGAAAUGCUUAGAGAUCAUACAGAACACCGAUUGCGAAGGCAGCGUACCAAGCUAUAUCUGACGCUGAGGCACGAAAGCGUGGGUAGCAAACAGGAUUAGAUACCCCAGUAGUC
rnacentral:rRNA from 1 species